rnacentral:rRNA from 1 species
GAGUUUGAUCCUGGCUCAGAUUGAACGCUGGCGGCAGGCCUAAUACAUGCAAGUCGAACGGUAACAUGGAAGUAGCAAUACUUUUGAUGACGAGUGGCGGACGGGUGAGUAAUAUUUGGGAAUCUACCUAUCAGAGGGGGAUAGCAACUGGAAACGGUUGAUAAGACCGCGUACGCUCUGAGGAGGAAAGUAAUGGGAUCGAAAGACCAUUAGCUGAUAGAUGAGCCCAAACGGGAUUAGCUAGUAGGCGGGGUAAUAGCCCACCUAGGCGACGAUCUCUAGCUGGUUUUAGCGGAUGAUCAGCCACAUUGGAACUGAGACACGGUCCAAACUCCUACGGGAGGCAGCAGUAGGGAAUAUUGCACAAUGGAGGGAACUCUGAUGCAGCCAUGCCGCGUGUGUGAAGAAGGCCUUCGGGUUGUAAAGCACUUUAGUUUUCGAGAAAGGGUGCUGUUCAAAUAGGGCGGUAUUCAGAUGUUAGAAAAAGAAUAAGUACCGGCAAACUCCGUGCCAGCAGCCGCGGUAAUACGGAGGGUACGAGCGUUAAUCGGAAUGACUGGGCGUAAAGGGCACGUAGGUGGAUAGAUAAGUCACAAGUGAAAUACCCGGGCUUAACCUGGGAUUGGCUCGUGAAACUGUUUAACUAGAGUACGGUAGAGGGGAGUAGAAUUCCAAGUGUAGCGGUGAAAUGCGUAGAGAUUUGGAAGAAUACCGGAGGCGAAGGCGGCUCUCUGGACCGAUACUGACACUGAAGAGCGAAAGCGUGGGGAGCAAACAGGAUUAGAUACCCUGGUAGUCCACGCCGUAAACGAUGUCGACCAGGAAUUUGACGCCUACGAGGUGUUGGGUUCCAGAACAAACGAUAUAAGUCGACCGCCUGGGGAGUACGGCCGCAAGGUUAAAACUCAAAUGAAUUGACGGGGGCCCGCACAAGCGGUGGAGCAUGUGGUUUAAUUCGAUGCAACGCGAAGAACCUUACCUGGUCUUGACAUGGCAGUAAUCCUGUAGAGAUACGGGAGUGCCGCAAGGAAACUGCACACAGGUGCUGCAUGNUGUCGUCAGSUCGUGUCGUGAGAUGUU